rnacentral:rRNA from 1 species
GUGUCAGCAGCCGCGGUAAGACGAGCCACACAAACGUUAUUCGGAAUCACUGGGCUUAAAGGGUGCGUAGGCUGCGCGGAAAGUGGGGUGUGAAAGCCCUCGGCUCAACCGAGGAAUGGCGCUCCAAACUACCGUGCUAGAGGAAGACAGAGGUAAGCGGAACUGAGGGUGGAGCGGUGAAAUGCGUUGAUAUCCUCAGGAACACCGGUGGCGAAAGCGGCUUACUGGGUCUUUUCUGACGCUGAGGCACGAAAGCUAGGGUAGCAAACGGGAUUAGAUACCCCGGUAGUCCUAGCUGUAAACGAUGAGCACUUGGUUGAAGGGCCCUCCAUAGCCUUUCAGCCGGAGCGAAAGUGUUAAGUGCUCCGCCUGGGGAGUAUGGUCGCAAGGCUGAA